GUUGGUGUUGAUUAGGGCGAGGGUCCACCCGUUCCCAUUCCGAACACGGAAGUUAAGCUCGCUUCUGCCGAAAAUACUUGCCUGGAGACGGGCCGGGAAGAUAGGUAACGCCAACA
rfam:Ruminococcaceae bacterium D16 genomic scaffold acsPy-supercont2.2, whole genome shotgun sequence.